ensembl:lncRNA
AUUUUCUUAUCGUUAACUCGGUUUUCCUGGGUCUUUCCACGUGUGUUAUGAAUAAAUCUUCUGUUUUUCAAUACCGGCACUAGUUUUAUUUUGUUGUAUUUAUCCGCAACACCUUAAAGGCCGGUCCGUGAAAAUAUUGUCGGGCAGUCGAUCGUGGCUCAAGAGUUGGGAGUUCGCCUUGUAAUCGGAAGGUUGCUGGUUCGAGCCCCGGCUUGGACAGUCUUGGUCGUUGUGUCCUUGGGCAAGACACUUCACCCGUUGCCUCUGUCAGUGCGCCCCAGGGUGGCUGUGGCUACAAUGUAGCUUGCCAUCACCAGUGUGUGAAUGUAUGUGUGAAUGGGUGGAUGACUGGAUGUGUAAAGCGCUUUGGGGUCCUUAGGGACUAGUAAAGCGCUAUAUAAAAUACAGGCCAUUUACCAUUUACCAUAAACUGGUGCGUGGCGCAAAAAAGGUUGGGGACCACUGCUCUAUGCUGUUGCAAGCUGGGGCAGCAGGUUGAGGGUCACAGAUGCCAACAGACUAAAUAAACUGAUCCACAAGGCCAGUAAUGUUGGACUCCGUUAGGGUGGUGUCUGAAGGCAGAUGUUGUUCAAGAUAAAGACAGUCAUGGAUAAUACUUCCCACCCACUCCAUGACACAGCUUCAGUGAGAGACUGAAGCUGUGUCCCAAAACGUCGGCAGCAUCCUCCGGAGGCCGCAUUUGAAGGCCGAUUACAUCACAGCCAGGCGACGAAGGCUGUCCCAAUUCGUCGACUCCUUCAAAUGCAGCUGACAAAUGCGUCUUUCAUUUCCCCGAAUUUGAAGGAUGGGUCGGAUGUGUGCUUCGUGGCAAACCAUAACCCAGAAUUCAUAGCGCGGCCCAGUCAAAUUUCAGCUGACAAUAAUGCGGCCAUGGCGGCCAUGGCGGCCGCUACUAAGUUUGAAAAUUACUCUUAUUAAUCUUUCUGGGCCACAAAAUAAACUUUUAACAUGUUUUAAGGCGAGAAAGUAGCUGUGUAAUUUACAAAUAUUACAAAUAGUACAUUUUGUACUCGUAGUCCCCCUUCUUCACACAUCCCCCUGGACUCAUGGGCGGGUGGUUUUAAGGACACGUUUUACGGACUCUGUACAUUCCAUGAAUGUGGACAAAAGUGAGUGUGAGCGGUCGGAAAUAGCCCUCCAGUAAACGAA